UAAGCGGAGGAAAAGAAACUAACAAGGAUUCCCUUAGUAACGGCGAGUGAACCGGGAAGAGCUCAAAUUUGAAAUCUGGCAGUCUUCGAUUGUCCGAGUUGUAAUCUAUAGAAGUGUUUUCCGUGCUGGACCGUGUCUAAGUCCCUUGGAACAGGGUAUCAAAGAGGGUGACAAUCCCGUGCUUGAUACGACCACCAGUGCUCUGUGAUACACUUUCUACGAGUCGAGUUGUUUGGGAAUGCAGCUCAAAAUGGGUGGUAAAUUCCAUCUAAAGCUAAAUAUUGGCGAGAGACCGAUAGCGAACAAGUACCGUGAGGGAAAGAUGAAAAGCACUUUGGAAAGAGAGUUAAACAGUACGUGAAAUUGUUGAAAGGGAAACGAUUGAAGUCAGUCGUGUUCAUUGGACUCAGCUAGUUCUUCUAGUCUACUUCCUUUGAACGGGUCAACAUCAGUUUUGUCCGGUGGAUAAAGGUAGUUUCAAUGUAGCUUCUUCGGAAGUGUUAUAGGUUUCUAUCACAUACACUGGGGGAGACUGAGGACUGCAGCUCGCCUUUUGGCCGGGGUUCGCCCACGUUCGAGCUUAGGAUGUUGACAUAAUGGCUUUAAACGACCCGUCUUGAAACACG
rnacentral:rRNA from 1 species